CCUACGGGUGGCAGCAGUCGAGAAUUAUUCACAAUGGGGGAAACCCUGAUGGUGCGACGCCGCGUGGGGGAAUGAAGGUCUUCGGAUUGUAAACCCCUGUCAUGUGGGAGCAAAUUAAAAAGAUAGUACCACAAGAGGAAGAGAUGGCUAACUCUGUGCCAGCAGCCGCGGUAAUACAGAGGUCUCAAGCGUUGUUCGGAAUCACUGGGCGUAAGGCGUGCGUAGGCUGUUUCGUAAGUCGUGUGAGAAAGGCGCGGGCUCAACCCGCGGACGGCACAUGAUACUGCGAGACUAGAGUAAUGGAGGGGGAACCGGAAUUCUCGGUGUAGCAGUGAAAUGCGUAGAUAUCGAGAGGAACACUCGUGGCGAAGGCGGGUUCCUGGACAUUAACUGACGCUGAGGCACGAAGGCCAGGGGAGCGAAAGGGAUUAGAUACCCCAGUAGUC
rnacentral:rRNA from 1 species